AGUACGCACACAGAGGCACUCAACUGAUUCAAUUGAUGAAAAAAGGACACAAGUAUUUAGUAUAAGCAAGUAAUAAUAAAUAACUUUAUGAACAAAUGCGCUGAAUAUUUCGAAGUAAAGCUGCUGAUAAGAAGAAGAAGAAGAGAAAGAAGAAGCAAAGCAAAUAAGUAGGUACUGUCGAAUACCAAAAAUAAACACCAGCUGAAUGAGCCGUAAUCCAUGCCAUAAGGCACCGCGGUCAAUGAGCAAUACCCAAUACCCAGUCAACCCUGCCAGUGGCGGUACAGGCAACCAAAUCAAUUACUCAGCCAAAUCCAUCAGCUCAACGGUGGCAAUAUCGUACGUUUGUCGUCAAUGGUAAACACGAGCACUUUUUUUCCUCACUAAAAUUUUUGUUAUUUGUGUUUUUGUUCCCUCUUUUUGUGUACGCAAAAACUUAUCCGUCCGUUGCGAUGACGAACAAGCCGUUGGGUUGGCGUACUUCUGUAUUUAUUUAAACGUCAAAUUUAUGCUGUUCUCAUUGCUGCAUACAUUAUAUUUUUGGGAAUUUUUUCAACGUUCUAUCCAAAGUACUUUUUUUGAAUACUGAAUGGGACUCUCGGUAUUAUAAAAUCAGAUUGGUACAAUGACCCGCACAAACUCCUGAGGAACCGGUUCUACCUACGCUGUUAUCAAAAUAGUCCGAUUUACCGCUGGCUGCGCACUGGUGUAGGUACUUAAAACACAGCUCAGCGCAAGUUCAGCUCAUUUCAGCUCAGCACAGCACAGCUUAGUACAAGUGAGCCACAACGUUGCUACUCGCUGCGCCAAGCUUUGACGUCAGGGAGGCGUUAGGCAGUCGGUUAGUCAGACAGGCGGUAGUACCUGGCUGAGGGUUUCUGCGACAUCGUCAGAUACCGGUUUUUGACGUUGGCUUAUCGUUUCGGUGGGCCGUAAAAGUCGAUGAGGCGUUUCCAACAUAAUUUGUGCGCGCAAAUUCAAUAUUUGCUCGGGUUUUUAGCGGUUUUUUUGUUCGUUUAAAAUAAAUAAGUAACUUCUUAUUUAAAAAUAAAUAUUAUAUAAAUACAAUUAAAGC